ensembl:lncRNA
NNNNNNNNNNNNNNNNNNNNNNNNNNNNNNNNNNNNNNNNNNNNNNNNNNNNNNNNNNNNNNNNNNNNNNNNNNNNNNNGCCGAAGGACCCCCACAGGGCCCCGACCCCCACGCCGACCCGGGCUGGCUGACGGAGCUGCUGGCAUCACCUGGGGCCCACACCACAGGGCACGGCUCGCCAGAGGUGAGGGGGUGCGGGGGGGCUCUGUGGGGUUAAUGUGGGGUGGGCUCUUCCAUCACUGGGUGACGGGAUGGGAGGGGACAGCACAGGAUGGGAUGAGUGUGUGUAUGGAGGCCAAGCGGGAGCGUGUGGUGAGGGGCAGGUGGCAGGGUAUGGCCUCCCUUUGGGGUGGGCCCUGCUGUGCCGUGUACCCUGGGCACCCCAGGGCAUUUCUCCCUUUCUCCCUAACUCUGCUGCUGCAGGAGCCAGGGCUAUGCCCCCCUCUAACUCUUCUCACUCCUUUCCCCCUUCCCCCCAGGGCCUGUUGGGCUGGUCGCGGAAGGACCUGUGCAGUGAGUUUGGCAUUGGCCGCCUCCGGCGGGCCGGCACUUUGACUGGAGCUGCGCCCGCUGUGUCCAGGGAGAGAGACAAUGCUGCUGAGACCAAGCAGGACCAGGAAUUUAGGGCCAAAUCCGGCUGGGACAGCAGCCACAGUGACAGUGCUGGGGCCAGGCCGGAUGGGCACUUCAGCACUGCCCGGGAGGGCUGGAGCAGUGACUACAGAGGGACGGAGCUGAUGGCAGACACCAAACUGGGCAGCAGUGACUGGUCCCAGUCCCUUGGUGCUGGGGAGAGCUGCCUGCGGGAUCCAGACUUUGGCAGCAGCACAGCCAAGUGGGGCCCGGGCUAUGGCCUGGGCCGUGCCAGCAGCACAGAGGAGCUUGACUCCGAGCAGCCCACCUGGGCGGGCAGGUAUGGCACCGGUGACAUGGAGAUGAAGGACAGGGAGCUCACCCCGGACUGGGCCAGUAAAUACAGCAGCCGGGAUGCCAGGAGCAAGGAUGAGGAUUUUACGCUGGGCUGGGCUGGCCGAUCCAGCACUGGGGACACAGGGAGCCCAGACAAGGAACUCAGCCCCAGCCGACCGUCCUGGAACAGCAGGUACAGCACCCGGGACAUGGAGAGCCAGGACCGGGAGUUCAGUCCCAGCCGGCCAGCCCGGACUGAGGAAUACAAGGACACACAAAACCAGGACAGGGAGUUCAGCCCCAGCCGGCUGGCUGAAGGCAGCGAGUGCAGCACUGGCAGUGUGGAGACCCAGGACCGGGAAUUCAGCCCCAGCGGAGCGGCCUGGGAUAACAGGUACAGCACUCAGGACAUGGAGAGCCAGGACCGUGAGUUCAGCCCCAGCCGGCCGGCCUGGACUGGUGAAAUCAGGGACAUGGAAAGCCAGGACAGGGAGUUCAGCCCCAGGAGGCCGGCCUGGGCUGGUGAAUACAGGGAGAUGGAAAGCCAGGAUCAGGAGUUCAACCCCAGCAGGCUGACCUGGGAUAACAGAUCCAGCAGCAGGGACACGGAGAGCCAAGACCGGGAGUUCAGCCCCAGCCGGCUGGCUGAAGCCAGCGAGUGCACCACCGGGGACCUGGAGACCCAGGAUGGGGAAUUCAGCCCCAGGGGAGCAACCUGGAGUGACAGAUCCAGCACCAGCAACAUGGAGACCCAGGACAGUGGAUUCACUCCCAGCAGAGCAACCUGGGAUGAUGGGCACAGCGCUGGGGACAUGGAGACCCGGCACGGGGAGUUGUUCAGCCCCAGCAGAGUGGCCUGGGGCGACAGGUCCAGCACCAGGGAUGUGGAGGCCCAGGACAGGGAGUUCAGCCCCAGUGGAGCAGCCCGGGAUAGGGAGCACGGUUCUGUGUUCCCCAUGGAGGAAGGGCAGGAGCUGAUCCCAGGCCGGCUGAGCUGGUCCGGUGAGAGCAGCGUCGGCCAGGCCAGGCAUGUUGGGAUCAAUGAGGAAGAUGUGCCUGGCUCCCUCUGCUCUGAUCUCCUGGCCCAGGAGUCCACCUGGGGCAGUGCCCACCAGCAGGAGCGUGGCAGCUCCAGCAGCGGGGACUGGGCUGAGGAGCUUGGAGGAGGUGACUGCCACAACCAGUUUGGUGCCAUUGGGACAGAGCGGGUGCCAGACCCCUGCAGCAGCGGAGCCUCAGAUGGCACCAUGUCCAGGGGCCUGCAGUCCCUGGCAGGCUGGCACAGGGAUGUCUCUCUGGACACGGACGAUGCCCGCUGGAGCCAGGACCUGGAGCACUGGAGCAUGGAUCUGCAGGACACCGAGGCCAAGCGCCAGGAGUGGGCGAGUGCCUUUGGUGCCCGCUGUGCCGCCCGCAGCCGGGACCUCGGCACUGGGGAACGAAGCCUGGGAGGGGACACGGGCACAGAGGACAGGUAAGGAGGGCACUGGUGGUGGCAGGGAGGGAGCAGCUUCCCCUGAGGUGGACAGAAGGGUUUUGGGACAUGAGCAGGCCUUGUGUUAUCUGGGGCUGGAGCAACUCUGUGGUCUUGUCUCCCAAGCAGGAGCCUCCAUCUUUCAGCCCCCAGCCCACCGAUGGGUAAUGCCCCAGCCGACCCCCCAGCUCUGGAGACCCCCCGGGGUGAGCUGCUCAGCCCCACUGAGGAGGAGAGGGACCUCCCCGAGCACGCCGCUGCCCUGCAGAGCCCCAGGGCCUCCUCUCUGCUGCUGGAGGCUGCCAGCGGGAUCCCAGUGGACCCAGGGAUUGAGGAACCCACAUCGGACCACCCAGAUGGGGAGAGCCCCCCGGGCUGGGGGGAGCAGCGGCUCUCCCUGGGUGCCCCUCAGCCU